rnacentral:lncRNA from 1 species
GGAAUAUAUGGGCCUAUUUCGAUUAGAUUCUGAAAAAAUAAUUUAUGCAGAAUUGAUUUUGAUUUGAAAAAAUAACUUUCGCUAAAAACUAUAGAGAGUUUGACUGAUUGAAUUUAGAUAAAAGUGAUUUUUCUGAAGUGAUUUUGUAAAACUGUUUAGCAAAAAAAAUUUAAUAUUUGCAUAUAAAGUUUACUUUAGGGUAUUUAUGAAAUUUUGAAGUUUCUGU